GCCCUGCGCCCCGGCCUUUUCCUUGCCGAACACCGCCUCCGUCCCGGCCGCCUUUGUCUCUUUCAUAGAGCCACCGGCUGAUGGGACAGCGGGGGACGCGGACCCCGGCGCGGCCCGUGUGCCCCGGCUGCGGGGGCCACGGCAUCCGUGAGUUACCAAGGUCACGGAGGCCUCGGUGAGCCCUCAGACCGCUCCUCACCACGCAAACCUGGCCCUCGGCCCCGAGCAAGAAGUUAGUGCUGGUUCACGUGGGCGGAUGGGGUCCGGUGUCCGGCGGGUGAGGAAACAGCAGCGCCCUCAGCGUGUUCCCUGCGAGCUCGGUGCGCUGGACACCUGUGUGGACGGACAGCUGGCACUGUGGUGCACGCAGGUUGCUGAAUUGUUGGCGUGUUUGGAAGAGAUGGAUGCCACCAGUGACACGUGGAUGUGCUGCACACGCUGCCUGUGCCCUGUGCAAGGUCAAGUGCUGAGAAAGAAGCCCUGACAGCUUCCUUGUCCUGCCUGCCUCAGGAAGUGUGGACACAGAGCCAUGAGGACCGAGCAGGACAUUGGGGUGAUGGAGAGAAAAGAGGACUGACCCACGGGGGAUGAAGCAACAGCACUGGAAUUGUUUGCUUGCUGUGGCAGGAACACAAACUCGGAUGGAUUUUGAUCUGACACAAGGAUGCCUACAGGCUGAGGCUGGGUGCAGUGCAGAGGUCCCCCCCCUUUUUGCUGGCUGGAGAUGCACCACCCCAGAGCACAAACUUGUCUUUGCUUGGCUUCCCAGCGUGGUUUAAUGCACAUUACACAGCAGGAACACUUGGUUUUGCAUCUUAAGUAUUGUUUCUACUGCUGUGCUUCUGGGGCAAUUUUAAUUUGGUAUGCCACAAUCCACCAGGACUAAAGAUGAAGGUAAAAUUUCUGACACAAAAGCAGAAAACAGCCUGAGAGAUUUACAAAAAGGCCAUAGGAAACCCAGCUUUAGUUGCAGCAGUAUUGUUAAAUUCAAGCCUCAGACAGAAGAAACAGGUGGGCAUGGCACAGGGUGCUUUAUGCAGCAUUGCCUGGGGGAGGUGAGGAUGCUCCUGUAGCUGCCUGCUGCUCCAGCUCUGUUGGUCCAGCUCUGUGCCUCAGCUGCAGAGCUGCGCAGGCACAAAACCCGGGUGUAGGCUGUGCCUAAACUGGGGAGGGGGUGGGGGGCAGAUCUGCACACCUACAUGAGGGAAGCAAGUUCUUUUCACCUGCUGCGUGCAAGCCAAGCACAUCCCCCUCACACAUGCAGGCCCAGUUUUGCCCUGUGGUUUCCCCAAACACUCCCCUCCCUGCAUCUCUGUGUAGCUGUUGCUCAAACAGGAACUGUUCUGCCUUUACAGCCUUUAGCAGAUGAUGCUCUAAUCUCCCUCUGUCAUCUCCCUGCCAGUUGCCAGUGCAGCCAUGUGCACAUCUGAGAGCAAAUUUUCUAGGACAGCACUGGGAGGUAAAAUGCUUUCCCUAUUUGUUUUCUCUCUGCUUUUCAUCCUUGCUCCUCCUGCUCCCUUCUCUGACCCCUUUUUUAUAUCCUCCGCACCUUUUGCUGGCCUCUGACUGCAAAACCAAACUGGUACUUGGUGUUGGUGCUGGGACCCUUAUAUAGGUCAACCCCUGUGAGUCAAAGAGUCUGAGCUGCAGUCGACCUGCAGCUGCUCCAUGGUGCAGGAGGGUGAUCAGGCUUAUCACUUCUUGUGCCACUUGCCUCGCUUCUGCUUCCUUGGAGAUCCAGCAGUGCCAUGCUGUGCCAACCCGUCUGGCUGCAAGCUGCACAGAAAUCCCUGGUUUGUCAGUCCAGGAGCCCAAAGCAACUGAAAGAUCUUCCCAGAGCCAUGAGCAUGGGGCUUGUCCUACUGCUGGGAAAUGCUUCUGCAGGCUGUCCUUUCACGCAGACAUCCCGAGCUGCAGUGUAAAAUGUCACUCAGAAAUGUUCUGUGGCUGCAGAUGGAAGGGGGGAGGUGGUGUCUGCCAGCUGUUGGGUUGCUCUGAAAGGCUGUUUUGUCCACUGUGAGACUCCCAUGCCCUCUCCAGACAUGCAGGUCCAUACAGCAGUUACCUCACCAGAGAAAAAAAAUGUUGAACGAUGCAGAGCUGCCCUCCUCAUCACUGCUUGGCUUGCUUAGGCAUUUUUAAAACUCCUCUGAGCCCCCCACCCUGUGUUUUGUAGGGUCCUUAGCACUAAAAACCAGUCUCAGCACGAGCCUCAGUCUCUGUCCUACCAGCUUUCAGUAGCAGUAAAUGGAAAGCAAAUCCAAAUCUUUGCCCCAUCAGAAACCGCAGCUGCAAAGCUGUCCUAUUGUUUCAUAAGCUACUUUUAUUUUUGAGCCUUCAGACCUGUGGCACAUCCUCUGCAAAGGUUAAACUCAAAUUUAGCUGCACAAGCAUUGGGAGGAAAGUCUGUCUCUCAGCACAGUAGAGAGUCCCCAACCCCCUCCAAAACAAAAUGGAAGUGUCUCUGGUUCAAGGCAGCGAGCUGCAGGAGCUGUAAGCUAUUAUUUUAGUUCCCAAGAAAAGUAAUUACUAUAGCAACCAACACAUCCAAACGGCUCUUUGGCUGCUGCCGAGACACAAACAACUUGCACACAAAAGCACAUCAGAAACGUGCUGUGUAAAAUGUCCUCGGGUAGCUCUGUGUUUUCGAGAGCUCUACGAAAUGCGUGUAACAGGCUUCUGAGAAAUGACUGCCAGAAUAACAGCAAGCAAUUGUGCCACGAUCCCAAAAUAACCUAAUCAAUGGCUCCGUGUAUUUGCCCCUGAAGAGAUGGAGGAAAAAAAAAAAAAAAUAAAGCAGAGGCUCCAUUUUAAGUCUAUGUGCCGGGAAGUUCCCAGCAGAGCUGGAGAUACAUUCAACAAACAGACAAUAAAAUGGUGGGGGAAGGUCUCUGCUUUUGUUCUGGCUGAUUGCAACUCCCUGCUCCACGUGCCAGCCCAACCCCUCGGGAUUAGAGAGUGUUGGGAGAAGGGAGUUAAUUAGAGCCGUGUCAUGCUGCAGGGCGUAAGAAGCAAUGUCUGCUCUCCUUUCUGUGUCUGUGCAGCGAGCAGCCCCCACACGCCAUUCCUCCCGCUGCAGUGCAGGGCACAUUGCUGCUACUGAGCAAGGAAGUUUCUUGAGCAACAGCAAACUGUAACCAUUGGUUACAUUGCUUAAGUAUGACAGCGUUUGGGGCGUCUCUGGCACGUUCAAAUCAAAAUGGCACUGGUCUGAUAACAGCUUAGGAGCUCUUGCAACGUUGCACCACUUUGUGGAGCCGAGACAAACACCCUGGGCUCCCCAAAGCAAGAGAUGUGGUCCAAGCAACCUGGACCCCCACAGGACACACACACGUCGCCUGUCUCAAGGAUGGUGAGCAGCAUUGACGUCACUCUCCUGCUCCAUUGCAGAAGGCAGCUGUGAUGAAAAUGGAGGUUAUGGAUCUGGGUAAAUCAGAGUUAGAUCCUAUAAGUGAGCACAACACGUCCCUUCAGACACUUGAAUUGCCCUUUGAAUUUUUUUUCUUAAUCAAUUGAGUCCUCAAGUCUUGC